rnacentral:rRNA from 1 species
AGAGUUGAUCAUGGCUCAGGAUGAACGCUAGCUACAGGCUUAACACAUGCAAGUCGAGGGGCAGCAUUGAGAUAGCUUGCUAUUCAGAUGGCGACCGGCGCACGGGUGAGUAACGCGUAUCCAACCUUCCCUAUAGUAGAGAAUAGCCCGGCGAAAGUCGGAUUAAUGCUCUAUGUUGUUCAAUGCGGACAUCUAAGUUGAACCAAAGGUUUACCGCUAUAGGAUGGGGAUGCGUCUGAUUAGGUUGUUGGCGGGGUAACGGCCCACCAAGCCAUCGAUCAGUAGGGGUUCUGAGAGGAAGGUCCCCCACAUUGGAACUGAGACACGGUCCAAACUCCUACGGGAGGCAGCAGUGAGGAAUAUUGGUCAAUGGGCGAGAGCCUGAACCAGCCAAGUAAGCGUGCAGGAUGACGGCCCUAUGGGUUGUAAACUGCUUUUAUACGGGGAUAAAGUGAGGGACGUGUCCCUUUUUGUAGGUACCGUAUGAAUAAGGACCGGCUAAUUCCGUGCCAGCAGCUGC